UACGUAGGGCGCAAGCGUUGUCCGGAAUUAUUGGGCGUAAAGAGCUCGUAGGCGGUCUGUCGCGUCUGGUGUGAAAUCCCAUGGCUCAACUGUGGGCUUGCAUCGGGUACGGGCAGACUAGAGUGCUGUAGGGGAGACUGGAAUUCCUGGUGGUAGCGGUGGAAUGCGCAGAUAUCAGGAGGAACACCGAUGGCGAAGGCAGGUCUCUGGGCAGUUACUGACGCUGAGGAGCGAAAGCAUGGGGAGCGAACAGG
rnacentral:rRNA from 1 species